GGCCCUUUAGCUCAGUGGUCAGAGCAGGCGACUCAUAAUCGCUUG
rnacentral:tRNA from 1 species